rnacentral:rRNA from 1 species
CUGCGAAUGGCUCAUUAAAUCAGUUAUCGUUUAUUUGAUAGUUCCUUUACUACAUGGUAUAACUGUGGUAAUUCUAGAGCUAAUACAUGCUUAAAAUCUCGACCCUUUGGAAGAGAUGUAUUUAUUAGAUAAAAAAUCAAUGUCUUCGGACUCUUUGAUGAUUCAUAAUAACUUUUCGAAUCGCAUGGCCUUGUGCUGGCGAUGGUUCAUUCAAAUUUCUGCCCUAUCAACUUUCGAUGGUAGGAUAGUGGCCUACCAUGGUUUCAACGGGUAACGGGGAAUAAGGGUUCGAUUCCGGAGAGGGAGCCUGAGAAACGGCUACCACAUCCAAGGAAGGCAGCAGGCGCGCAAAUUACCCAAUCCUAAUUCAGGGAGGUAGUGACAAUAAAUAACGAUACAGGGCCCAUUCGGGUCUUGUAAUUGGAAUGAGUACAAUGUAAAUACCUUAACGAGGAACAAUUGGAGGGCAAGUCUGGUGCCAGCAGCCGCGGUAAUUCCAGCUCCAAUAGCGUAUAUUAAAGUUGUUGCAGUUAAAAAGCUCGUAGUUGAACUUUGGGCCCGGUUGGCCGGUCCGAUUUUUUCGUGUACUGGAUUUCCAACGGGGCCUUUCCUUCUGGCUAACCUUGAGUCCUUGUGGCUCUUGGCGAACCAGGACUUUUACUUUGAAAAAAUUAGAGUGUUCAAAGCAGGCGUAUUGCUCGAAUAUAUUAGCAUGGAAUAAUAGAAUAGGACGUUUGGUUCUAUUUUGUUGGUUUCUAGGACCAUCGUAAUGAUUAAUAGGGACGGUCGGGGGCAUCAGUAUUCAAUUGUCAGAGGUGAAAUUCUUGGAUUUAUUGAAGACUAACUACUGCGAAAGCAUUUGCCAAGGACGUUUUCAUUAAUCAAGAACGAAAGUUAGGGGAUCGAAGAUGAUCAGAUACCGUCGUAGUCUUAACCAUAAACUAUGCCGACUAGGGAUCGGGUGGUGUUUUUUUAAUGACCCACUCGGCACCUUACGAGAAAUCAAAGUCUUUGGGUCUGGGGG